rnacentral:lncRNA from 1 species
UUCAGGUAACAGAAGACGAGCACAGCUGUUCUCCUAGAGGGUCACCGAGUCUGUAACACCCUGACAUGCUCCCCAGGAGAACCUGGAGGCUGCCGGGAGGCAGGAGGACAAGGUUCCUGGAAAAGCACGUGUCUGCUCCCGUCUCUAGUGAAGGGCUGCUCCUGCCCACGCACCGAAAUGCUGCUCCUUGCUCCGAGGCUGAAGGAGAUGCCAAGCACAAUAGGUGAGUGUUGGCCACAUUCCUGAGCAGGCAGCCAGUGGUAUUCGUGAGCAGGCAGGAGCAUCCUUCAGACCAGGUGUUCAGUCUCUGCUGGGUGUGAGGGGGA